UACGGGGGGAGCAAGCGUUGUUCGGAUUUACUGGGCGUAAAGGGCGCGUAGGCGGUCGUGACAAGUCACUUGUGAAAUCUCCGGGCUUAACUCGGAACGGUCAAGUGAUACUGUCGGACUAGAGUACAGAAGGGGCAACUGGAAUUCUCGGUGUAGCGGUGAAAUGCGUAGAUAUCGAGAGGAACACCGGUGGCGAAGGCGGGUCUCUGGGCCGAUACUGACGCUGAGGAGCGAAAGCGUGGGGAGCGAACAGG
rnacentral:rRNA from 1 species